rnacentral:hammerhead_ribozyme from 1 species
AUCCGACUGACGAGUUCCAAAUAGGACGAAGCGCGUGCUCUGGAU